GGGGAUGACGGGCUUCGAUAGAAAUCUUUCUUCUUCAAUUGCAAGUCGAGCUGAACCAUCUCGUAAAACUGGUUCAAAACUUAACUGCUAAUCAAAAUUUAGCUUUAGCCUACGCUUAACUGCGUUAGCUCAUCGGCGGCUUAAUGUCUCGUAGGGCCAAUGCCGGUGUUAUAUUCGAGGAUAAGAAAUCGGACUUGAGGCCGGUUCCGAUUUACGAAAAUUAAUGGUCUCGUCGUUCUAAUUUAUUAGAUCUAAACUUGUAGAAGUUGCUGAAGAAAAUUUUUAGAUGUGAGUUCAACUCUCACCAUCUCCACAA
rnacentral:tmRNA from 1 species